AACGAACGCUGGCGGCAGGCUUAACACAUGCAAGUCGAACGCCCCGCAAGGGGAGUGGCAGACGGGUGAGUAACGCGUGGGAAUCUACCGUGCCCUACGGAACAACAGUUGGAAACGACUGCUAAUACCGUAUACGCCCUACGGGGGAAAGAUUUAUCGGGGUAUGAUGAGCCCGCGUUGGAUUAGCUAGUUGGUGGGGUAAAGGCCUACCAAGGCGACGAUCCAUAGCUGGUCUGAGAGGAUGAUCAGCCACAUUGGGACUGAGACACGGCCCAAACUCCUACGGGAGGCAGCAGUGGGGAAUAUUGGACAAUGGGCGCAAGCCUGAUCCAGCCAUGCCGCGUGAGUGAUGAAGGUCUUAGGAUUGUAAAGCUCUUUCACCGACGAAGAUAAUGACGGUAGUCGGAGAAGAAGCCCCGGCUAACUUCGUGCCAGCCGCCGCAGUAACAC
rnacentral:rRNA from 1 species